AGUGAACGCUGGCGGUAGGCCUAACACAUGCAAGUCGAACGGCAGCACAGUAAGAGCUUGCUCUUACGGGUGGCGAGUGGCGGACGGGUGAGGAAUACAUCGGAAUCUACUUUUCGUGGGGGAUAACGUAGGGAAACUUACGCUAAUACCGCAUACGACCUACGGGUGAAAGCAGGGGAUCUUCGGACCUUGCGCGAUUGAAUGGGCCGAUGUCGGAUUAGCUAGUUGGCGGGGUAAAGGCCCACCAAGGCGACGAUCCGUAGCUGGUCUGAGAGGAUGAUCAGCCACACUGGAACUGAGACACGGUCCAGACUCCUACGGGAGGCAGCAGUGGGGAAUAUUGGACAAUGGGCGCAAGCCUGAUCCAGCCAUACCGCGUGGGUGAAGAAGGCCUUCGGGUUGUAAAGCCCUUUUGUUGGGAAAGAAAAGCAGCAGGUUAAUACCCCGCUGUUCUGACGGUACCCAAAGAAUAAGCACCGGCUAACUUCGU
rnacentral:rRNA from 1 species